CUACGGGAUGCAGCAGUGGGGAAUAUUGGACAAUGGGGGAAACCCUGAUCCAGCAAUGCCGCGUGUGUGAAGAAGGCCUGCGGGUUGUAAAGCACUUUCGGUUGGGAGGACUGCUUCUAGCACUAAUAUUGUUGGAAGUUGACGUUACCUUCAGAAGAAGCACCGGCUAACUCCGUGCCAGCAGCCGCGGUAGUACGGAGGGUGCAAGCGUUAAUCGGAAUUACUGGGCGUAAAGCGCGCGUAGGCGGCUAGAUCAGUCGGGUGUGAAAGCCCCGGGCUUAACCUGGGAACUGCAUCCGAUACUGUCUAGCUUGAGUGCAGGAGAGGAGAGUGGAAUUCCACAUGUAGCGGUGAAAUGCGUAGAUAUGUGGAGGAACACCAAUGGCGAAGGCAGCUCUCUGGCCUGAUACUGACGCUGAGGUGCGAAAGCGUGGGGAGCAAACAGGAUUAGAUACCCUCGUAGUC
rnacentral:rRNA from 1 species